ACUGGUUAUUUAUGGCUGCAGGGACGUGUCACAUUAUGUCCCAUUGCUCCAUUUGUAACCAGACA
rnacentral:pre_miRNA from 1 species